CAGUGCUCUUCUUGGACUGGCGUUGGUGAGUUAAACUAAAUACAACCAGUACCUUUCUGAGAAGAGUAAAGCUCA
ensembl:miRNA Mir470 microRNA 470